rnacentral:SRP_RNA from 1 species
UACGUCGGCAGGGGCGGCGGGCCCUUGUCUGCACUCGAGGUGCCACGCGCACUGGCCAGGCAACUUGUGGGCGAUCUUACGCGUGCGGGUGAAUUCGAGGACUUUGUCGGGAGGGCGAUGUUGAUGGGCGACGAUCGCGCGAGGGAAGCCAUCCUGAAGCAAA